ACAGUGUUGCAAUAGAAAUUCCACCUAGUACGAGAGGAACCGUUGAUUCACACAAUUGGCCAUCGCGCUUGGCUGAAAAGCUAGUGGCGCAAAGAUACCAUGUGCUGGAUUAUGACUGAACACUUCUAAGUCAUAAUCCAGGCUAGAAACGACGCAUGCGCCCGCCGUCCGCUUGCUGACCCGUAAUAGGGGCCUAUUGUCCCCAAGGGCACGUGUUGUUGGCUAAGUCGCCGCGACACAAGCGUCACAGUGACCGCCUUGAAGAACAAUUUCAGUCGAGCGGCGGGUAGAAUCCUUUGCAGACGACUUAAAUACGCGACGGGGUAUAGUAAGUGGUAGAGUGGCCUUCCUGCCACGAUCCACUGAGAUUCAGUCCUUUGUCGCUCCGAUUC
rnacentral:ncRNA from 1 species